GUGCCAGCCGCCGCGGUAAUACGUAGGUGGCAAGCGUUGUCCGGAUUUAUUGGGCGUAAAGCGAGCGCAGGCGGUUUCUUAAGUCUGAUGUGAACGCCUUCGUCUCAACCGAAGAAGUGCAUCGGAAACUGGGAAACUUGAGUGCAGAAGAGGACAGUGGAACUCCAUGUGUAGCGGUGAAAUGCGUAGAUAUAUGGAAGAACACCAGUGGCGAAGGCGGCUGUCUGGUCUGUAACUGACGCUGAGGCUCGAAAGCAUGGGUAGCAAACAGGAUUAGAUACCCUGGUAGUCCAUGCCGUAAACGAUGAGUGCUAGGUGUUGGAGGGUUUCCGCCCUUCAGUGCCGCAGCUAACGCAUUAAGCACUCCGCCUGGGGAGUACGACCGCAAGGUUGAAACUCAAAGGAAUUGACGGGGGCCCGCACAAGCGGUGGAGCAUGUGGUUUAAUUCGAAGCAACGCGAAGAACCUUACCAGGUCUUGACAUCCUUUGACCACUCUAGAGAUAGAGCUUUCCCUUCGGGGACAAAGUGACAAGUGGUGCAUGGUUGUCGUCAGCUCGUGUCGUGAGAUGUUGGGUUAAGUCCCGCAACGAGCGCAACCCUUAUUACUAGUUGCCAGCAUUAAGUUGGGCACUCUAGUGAGACUGCCGGUGACAAACCGGAGGAAGGUGGGGACGACGUCAAAUCAUCAUGCCCCUUAUGACCUGGGCUACACACGUGCUACAAUGGAUGGUACAACGAGUUGCGAGACCGCGAGGUUUAGCUAAUCUCUUAAAACCAUUCUCAGUUCGGAUUGUAGGCUGCAACUCGCCUACAUGAAGCCGGAAUCGCUAGUAAUCGCGGAUCAGCAUGCCGCGGUGAAUACGUUCCCGGGCCUUGUACACACCGCCCGU
rnacentral:rRNA from 1 species